rnacentral:lncRNA from 1 species
UUUUGAUCGUAAGAAGAACUAAGAAAUUUAGUAACCUCGAUCACCAAUCGAACUGAGUGAUAGCUUAGCUUGUCGACCAAACAAAGAGAAUUAGAGCACCAAUGUUGGGAAGAGAGCAUCAAUGUUGGGAAGCCAAACGAUUUCACAUGAACUGUGAAGACUCAUAAGAAACAUAUUUAAGAUCUGAUUAUUGGUUUAUUCACACAAUCUAUCAUUUGACUAAGUUGAGAUUGAUAUUCAUCUGUAAGCUCUAUUUUUUAAAUUCACUUCUUGUUUUAUGAUAGAAGAAGAAUAAAACAUGAAAAGACAAAAAACAGUAGAAAUGUAGAAUAAAACAGAAGCUGAGUUGAGUUUUGUAUUUGU